UCUCCAAUGUAGUGCACUACCUUUGUAAACAGGGCCCUCUGCUCUCCAAUGUAGUGCACUACCUUUGUAAACAGGGCCCUCUGCUCUCCAAUGUAGUGCACUACCUUUGUAAACAGGGCCCUCUGCUCUCCAAUGUAGUGCACUACCUUUGUAAACAGGGCCCUCUGCUCUCCAAUGUAGUGCACUACCUUUGUAAACAGGGCCCUCUGCUCUCCAAUGUAGUGCACUACCUUUGUAAACAGGGCCCUCUGCUCUCCAAUGUAGUGCACUACCUUUGUAAACAGGGCCCUCUGCUCUCCAAUGUAGUGCACUACCUUUGUAAACAGGGCCCUCUGCUCCAAUGUAGUGCACUACCUUUGUAAACAGGGCCCUCUGCUCCAAUGUAGUGCACUACCUUUGUAAACAGGGCCCUCUGCUCCAAUGUAGUGCACUACCUUUGUAAACAGGGCCCUCUGCUCCAAUGUAGUGCACUACCUUUGUAAACAGGGCCCUCUGCUCCAAUGUAGUGCACUACCUUUGUAAACAGGGCCCUCUGCUCCAAUGUAGUGCACUACCUUUGUAAACAGGGCCCUCUGCUCCAAUGUAGUGCACUACCUUUGUAAACAGGGCCCUCUG